GAGAGGCAGACCCACGCUCAAUGUGGGUGGGCACCAUCUGAUAGGCUGCCAGCGGUAGCAGAAGAAGAUGGUCUGCUUCCCUACUUUUGAAGUUUUGGGACUUGGACUGGUUUCCCUUGCUCCUUAGCUUGCAGAAGGCUUAUCAUGGGACUUCACCUUCUGAUUGUGGGGUAUGUUGCCUUGCUUCUGACAUGUAGGAAGAAUGCAGAGAACAUGUUCCUCAUGGAAAGGGACUCAUGAAUGGACCACUGCUCAGCAGUGAAAGCAUUCAGAAUAUGCUUUGGAGGAAAGGAAGGAAAUUAACACACUGAUCCUCUAUGGAGAAAAUAAAUUAGUCCAUCCUCUGAGAGAAAAGAAUAAUUCAAGGAUUCCUCAUGCACAUCAAUUCCUGAGGGAAGCAUUUCCUGAUAUUCUGCCCACACCUCUACCACCACCUAAGAUAGGGGAAGGGGCUAGGCUCCAACUCGCUCACACAAUACCAUCACCACUGAACUUGGCGGUACUCUUCCGAUGAUUUCCAUUUGUUGGAAACUUGACACAGGAAUUGGUGUUGGUGCAGAGGUGGAAGACGGACACAGUCUGCUGCUGAGGCCAUAAGAGUGUGUUGGCCUGUGGUGACCUGCCUGACAACAGACCUACUAAUUUCAUUUCAACAUGCUGACGUAUGUCUACUGUACCUCAUCAAUGGCUCUGUUCUGCAGAGCAAAAGGAAAACCUACCACAAUGCAUUUGAUUCGAUGAAGAGAUAGAACUUAGUACAGAGUUGUAUUGCUUAGAGUUUGGAAACAAACUAUAAUCAUUUUUAUUGGUAUAUGUUUGAAGUUACCACAGAGGCACAAAACUUUUUUUAAAAAAUCAAGCACACACAAAGAAACAAAAGUUGAAAGUUGUUCACUGGUAACCUAUCUUUUUAAAAAAUAGUGCUAAAGAAAGGAAUUCCUGGGAAGCAUAUAUAUAUAUAUAUAUAUAUAUAUAUAUGUGUGUGUGUAUUUAUUGUGUAUAUAUAUUUACAUUCUUAUUUUAGACAGAACUAUUCAUAUGCAUUUUAUUAAUAAAAUGUUUAGGAACCCACUUCCCACCUUCAUAUGUGUGCUUUUAACUUUUGAGCAUCAGGAGUAACAACUGAGGAAAACGUCUAAGCGUGUUAAGUCUGCUCAUACACCCUCAUUUAUCCCCCAACAAUACACACACAACCUGCAUGUAUAUACAUAAAUGGUACUUAAUGGCAUGUGAAUUUUAUCAGCUUACUCUAUUCUGUUGAAUGCUUUAAGGCACAGAUUAAUAUUCUUACAAAUUGUUUUAUAUAUUUUAAAUAUACUUUUUACUUCAAGAUAAUUUUAGACUUACAGAAAAGUAGGAAAAAGAGUUCUCAUAUACCUCUUACCCCAGUUUUCUCUAAUGUUACACCUUACAUUCCCACAGCGUGUGUGUCAAAAGUAAAAAAGAAACAUUGGAUUAUUACCAUAUUAACUUAACUCCAGACUUUAUUUGGAUUUCAACAGUUUUCCAUUAAUGUCUUCUUUCUCUUUCAUGACCUAAUUCAGAAUACCACAUUGUAUAUAGUGUUUUGUGAUUUUUUAAAAAAAUGGAUGUUUUAUAAGGUUCCACAUUUUUUAAUUCAGUGUCUUGUUUGUGCUUCUAUAUAAGCAUUUAAUGCAACAGUGUUCAUCUGAGUAUUGCUUUUGAGUGCCAAAAUACCAUGUUUUUCACACUCCAAACUCUCAGGAAGGCUUCCGAAGACAACUUGUCCCUUAUUUAUAAUACUAUAUAUUAAAGUAACUGAAAGUAUUCAAAAUAAUGCUUACUUUGUGCAGAGUCCAUGAACUCUAACCAAAAUACAUAAAUGUCAAAUUUGAGCAAUACAUUUUGAUUGAUUUUAAAAUUCCAUUUGAGGCACUACUUUUCUGAAUAGAUGCCCAAGGAAAAUAUUUUAAAAUAUUGUUGUAUUAAAAAAUUGUUUCCUAUAGAAUCUGAAAAGUUCUUUAGGUAGACUUUUAGUAAAAUGUUUGAACAGUUUAAAUGCUAUUUCAGACUGUCAGAAUGAUGAAUGUUUUUAAAUUAUUUUCAUAAUGAUUUAUCACUCCAGUUUACAGUACUUGAAAAAUUUUUUUCGCUUCACCUAAAUAACUGGCAUUUUUGUGUUAUGUUCUUUUCCUCGUUUUAUACUCUGCUCUGAAGCACUUUCAAAUUAAAAAAAGAACAGUAUUGUAUUCUAGGGCCAUUAGUGAAUGUGCAUGAGCUAUUAUAGUCAAUGAAAUAAGCAUUAUAUGAUUGAAGAUUAACUAAGAAAAUGGAUUAUGGUGUAAUUAAAAACACCAAGAUAGGCGGGAUGCAGUGGUUUAUGCCUGUAAUCCCAGCACUUUAAGAGACCAAGGCAGGCAGAUUACCUGAGGUUAGGAGUUCGAGACCAGCCUGGCUAACAUGGCGAAACUCUGUCUCUACUAAAAAUACAAAAAUUAGCCGAGCGUGGUGGCAGGCGUCUGUAGUCCCAGCUACUUGGGAGGCUGAGGCAGGAGAAUUGCCUGAACCCAGGAGGAGGAGGUUCCAGUGAGCCUAGAUCAUGCCACUGUACUCCAUCCUGGGUGACAAGAGCAAGACUCUUGUCUCAAAAAAACAAAACAAAACAAAACAAAAACACCAAGAUAUUCCUGGAAAAGCUAUGAAAAUAUGUUUUUCAGUUAAGGGGAAGCACUUAUCAAUGCUGCCAGUCCUGGUAAAGAUUGUCAACUCUAACAUAAUAUAAAGCAGGCAUUUCUUGUAAUAAAUAUGAAGAGGAUAUUAGCCUUGAUCUUAGCAUAACUCUCUUCCAGGUAGGACUCCAGCUUCUGAAAGUAAUUUUGUAAUGCUCAUCAACUGAAGAUGACUGUAAAGCUUGGCACCAGUUCCUGGAGGCAGCCAUGUUUCUGAUUAAAGUCUGGGCCUAGAGAGCUGUAUGGAAAGGUUUGGAAUAGAGGUGAUUUAGCCUAAAGAAAAUUGCUAAACCAUGGGUUACACACUGGUGGCCUGUAGUCCUAUUUUGUUAGACACAGACAAUGGAUUUUAUUUGUUUUUCAUAUUUGAAUUAAUUUCUGAAUUCUUGAAUAUUGGCAGAUUAUGCUACAGGAAUCUAAAUUACUCUCAUUUCUGCAUGUCAUUAAAAAAGUAGAGAUGAGUAGCAGGCCCCUUUUCCCUGGGGCAUGUGCUUCCCAGCUACAUACACAGCACCCACCACACCAGAGUUUCCCUACCUGGCAACUACCAGUUAUCAUCACUCCUUAAGCAGCUGUUUUCUUACAGUGAAGAAGUUCCGUUUCCAUGGUGCUAUCAAAAGUAAGAAAAGGAACUAUAGUUUGAGAGGCUGUGUUCUUAACCCAUUGAUGCUCCUAAUGGGCCCUGAAGAUAUUUGACCUUGUGACCAUGUGUAAUAAGGUGAUACAUGUUCAUCAAAUUGUGGUGUCCUCCUCCCCUGACUUUCAAAUGGAAUUCAGAUACAAUUUUUACCCUUAUUACGAUUACCUACAAUUAUAAUUAUGCUACUUCUAAGUAUAUGACCUGGGGCAAGUUUCUUGACCUCUCUAUGCCUCACAUUCCUCAACCAUAAAUAGGGGAUAAAAAUAGUACCUAUAUCAUAGAGUUGUCAAAAGAAUUACAUGAGUUAAUGUGUGGAAAGCACUGAAGAUAGUGCCUGGUAAAUACAAUGUACCAUGUAAGUGUUCACUGUUGCAGUCCUCAUUUAUUUUCUGAUUAUACUAACAUUUCACUUAUUCUGUGUUGCUCAUGUCACCUCCUAAUUUGUAAGUGACUGGUAGAAAGAAACUUGUCCCAAGGGUAUCUGACCUUCACCCACACUCAGCACUUCCAUCAGUCUGCAUCAGUUUUAGGGCCUGGAGAUGUAUUUGCACAUAUUGAAGGAGGUAAAUAACUACAGUGAAUAAGAUAACAUUCAGAAAUUCAGGACUGCGACCUUAGAGAUCAUCUAGUCCAGGAGUUGGCAAGCUUUUUCUGUAUGGGACCAGACUGUAAAUAUUUUGGCUUUGUGGCCAUAUUGUCUCUGUGGCAACUACUCAACUCUGCUGGUGCAAUGCAAAAGAAGCCAUGGGUUAUAUGGAAUGAAUAGGUGUGGCUGUGUUCCAAUAACACUUUAUUUAUAGACACUGAAAUUUGAAUUGCAUAUAAUUUUCACAUGUCAUUAAAUAUUAUUCUUCUUUUGAUUUUUUUUCAACCUUUUAAAAAUGUAAAAACCAUUCUCAGCUCUGGGCUAUAAAAAACAGGUGGAAGAUUUCACCCAGGAAUUCCACCUGGGGAUUUUUGUUGAACAGUGAAGCUACCUGGGCCCCACUCCAAACCCAUUGAAUAAAAAUCUCUGGGUGGUGGGGCAAUGGAAUCUGUGCUGUGAACAUGCGUGUGAUCCCUACCAGUGUGGCUCUAGGGACCACACUUUAAGAAACUACCCAAGUGUGGAGACUUUAUGGCCCUCCUCACAGAUCUAAAAAUGAUUUAUUAAGGUUGGUUAUAACAAGUACCACACUGCAAAUAUGAAUAUGAUCACUUUUGUCUUAAAUUACUUAAAUUUACUCUUCACAUUCUCUUAUUUUUAUUAUCAAAAUUUCUUGUAGACAAAGGUCAUUAUUUUCUUCUACUAUGUUUAAGGAAUGUGACAGCACCUUGAACUUACCCUAAAAUCACUGUACAUUAGAGAAAUCCUAUUUCAUGUUUUCAUCAAUGUGGGAAUAUGUGCAUGUUUAGUGACAUUCUUUGUGGUGGCAAAAAGUAAAAUAAACUCUGAAAAUAACUUUGUCCUGGUGAAUAAAUUGUGGUGCAUAAUUACAUAAAUUAUGAUGUCUGUAUGUAAAAGAAUGUGUUUAGCUACAUGUACUGCCCUCGGGGAGGGAUGUCCAUCACAUACUGAUAACAACAACAACAAAAAAAGCAAAAUGCAGAAUAAAGUUUACAAUACAAUUUCAUUUUCAUGAAAAAAGGAAAUACAUGGAUAAUAUUGGUUACCUCGGGCAGUUAAGACCAGAUAGGGAAGUGGUGGGGGAUAAAAAAGCAUUUAACUUUUUCUUUAAACACAUCUUUAUUAACUUUUAUAGUAAUUAUUUUUAAAUAGAAAAAUUGUAAGUGCAAUUGGGAACAAAACCUCAUCCUUUAUAGUCUAUUUGGUACACACAUCCAUUUCCCUGAUAAGAAAGAGAACUCAGCUUCUAACACUCACAGACUCAGGCAAAGUAGAAAGAUUUAACUUACUUAUAAUGUGAAUUCACCUGCAAAAUAACUUCAUCAUCAUAUUUUUUUGCUAAAGGGGAGUUAUAUUUAUAUAAAGCUCAUCUAACGUCAAGUAGAGUCCUGACUUAGAAUAAGCCUUGCUUUGACUAAAUAAGUCAGAAAGAGGCAAUCCAUUCUGCUAUUUUGGUCUUUAUUUUCAAUACACAGAGUAUAAUUUUCAUAGGCCAUGAUUUGUUCCAUUACAGAAAGUUUCUCAGAAAACUAAUCCAUCCAAAUAAUUGCUAAUUACACAGCUCAUGUUAGGCUUUCACUUUGCCCUCAUAUUUUUUAACAACAGAUUUCAUAAGAGUUGUGGAGAGCACGAUUAUCAAAUGCUCAACUAAAUUAUUCUGUCUCAUUUGGGCACAAUUGUCAUUUCUAUGUAAUUAUAUAUGAGCAUUAGGUGACUCAUGCUUUCUAAAGUAAAAAAAAAAUAGAUCAAUCUAAUAAAUCUAUUAAGCACCCAAAAUUAAAUAUGCUUAAAUUUAAAGUAAAAAUUUUUAGACAAAAAGGAGAACUUCAUUCUCUAAUUGCAAUUUGUUCAUUUGUUCACACAUCAUUUAUUGAGUGUUUACUAUGGCAGGACGUGUGCUAGUAAACUUAUAUGUACUAUUGCCCAAAAUGAUUACUCAUCCUCUUUUUACUCAGUAGAAAAAAGAAGCUUGGAAAAGUUAGCUUACGUAGUCAUAUACUAAUAAGAGCACAAGUAGAGAUUUAACUCAGAUCUGUGGAGCAAAAUUAUUACAGCAGAGUGCCAGCAAUUAUUCUAGGUACUUUAUAAAUAUUAAUGCAUCAGAUCAUCAUAAUGAUUCCCAAGGUAGAGACUUGUGUACAUACCAUUUUGCAGGUGGGUUCAUUCCCACAGAGGGAGGCUAAGUAAAUGGCAGAGCUGGAAUUCAAACCCAGGCAGCCAGACUCCAGAGGCCUUGCUUUGAACCACCACUAGAUGGCCUUUUCCAUCCUAAUGGCUUGUUGGUCCCAUUGCACUGGUCUGCUUAGGAAGGCAAACAGACACAUGAGGACAGAAUAGAAUGAAUUAAGUAUGGUGGUCAACCACUGUGGCUAUAGCAUUUGGACCUCUGUCACAUUUAGUGAUGAAAAUUCAGUGCAAUGCCUUAAGGAAGAAAAGAGGGGAAGGAAUUAUCAUGCUAUGGACUGAAUGGUGUCCCCUCCAAAUUUAUAUGCUGAAGCCCUAACCCCUAAUGAGACAGUAUUUGUAGAUAAGGCUUAUAAAUAGGUAAUUAAGGUUAAAUGAGGUAAUAAGGGUAGAGACCCAAUAUGACACGAUUAGUGUUCUUAUAAGAACUAACACCAGAAGGCUCACUUAAGUGCUUGCACUUUGGUUCACUCUCUCUCUCUGCCUCAGCAUGCACAAAGAAGAGGGCAUGUGAGCACACAGUAAGAUGGCAGCUUCCCACAAGGCAAGAGAAGAGGCCUCAGAAUUAAACCUACCUUCCCAGCAUCAUGAUAGGAAAUUUCCAGCCUCCAUUACGUUGAGAAAUAAAUUUAUGUUGUUUAAGCCAUCCAGUCUAUGGUAUUUUGUUAUGGCAGCCCGAAUAGACAAAGACUCACUGAAACGAGAUAGUUCCCUUGAUCUCUUCACAGGACUCAUGAAGAAGUUGGCUCAUUUACUCAGCCUGCAGCUCUCAAGCCUUCACAGGAGGGGGAGCAUGCAGGUGAGCAGGUGCAGAGGCCAGAUCGAGUGCUCCUGGGUGCCAACAGGAGUAUAACUCUGUGCUGCCCCAUGGUGGUAUCUUGUAGGGUACCUGUAACCUGCGGAGCCCCAGAGUGGGUGUGUUACAAUGUGCUCUUUUAGCUUUGCCAUUCACGGAUGGCUUAAGUGUUUAAUAGCUCAGUGGAGGGUCAGGGUGAUAUCCUUUUGCAUGUACCCUCUUGGUACCUGAGUUCUUGUCUGGUAUCCAGGAAGAAUCAGGUUGCACAAACAAAUUGAAGAGUGGAGAAUGUGGAGGAUUUUAUUGAGUGGUGGAAGUGGCUCUCAGCAGGAUGGGGAGCUGGAAAGUGGAUCGAGUGGGAAGGUAGUCUUCCCCUGGAGUUCCUCUGUCCCCGGCCAAACUCUUCUCCAAAGUCCUGCCAUCAAGCUGUGCCUUUGAAGUCAAGCUGCUUCUCUCUGAUGUCUGCCUGCCUCAUCUCUCCCUCUCUGCCGCUCUGCCACACUGCAGUUCUG
rnacentral:lncRNA from 1 species